rnacentral:rRNA from 1 species
UACGUAGGGGGCAAGCGUUGUCCGGAUUUAUUGGGCGUAAAGAGCGUGUAGGCGGCCUGAAAGGUCAGCUGUGAAAACUCGAGGCUUAACCUCGAGACGUCGGUUGAAACCAUCUGGCUAGAGUCCGGAAGAGGAGUGUGGAAUUCCCGGUGUAGCGGUGAAAUGCGCAGAUAUCGGGAGGAGCACCUGUGGCGAAAGCGGCUCACUGGACCACAACUGACGCUGAGGCGCGAAAGCUAGGGGAGCAAACAGG